rnacentral:lncRNA from 1 species
UUUCUCUAUUCCAUUUUUUGGUUAGAAUCUUUGUAUUUUUUUCUAGCAGUCAUUCUAGGGAUUGCAGUAUAUGUACCCAACCUGUCACAGUCUUCCUAGAGUUAAUAUUUUCCACUUCAAAUAAAAUGUAGCAGCCUUACAACUAUAUACACUCCUUUAUACUCUUAUAGUUGUUCUACAUGUUACAUUUAUAUGCAUUGAGAGCUCCAUCAGAUGUUGUAAUUUUCACCUUAACAUCAAUCAUAUUUAAAGAACUUAUGAGGAAAAAUAGUCUAUUAUAUUUACCCAAGUGUUGUAGAUUGAAUUAUGUCCUUCAAAAGAAGAUACAUUGGAAUCCUAACUCCCAUACCUCAGAAUGUGUCCUUAUUUAGAGAUAGGGUCUUUACACAGGUAAUCAAGUUAAAAUGAGGUCAUUAGAAUCCAAUAUGACUACCGUCCUUAUAAAAAGGGGGAAAUUUGGACACAAAGACACACAGGAAGAACACCAUGUGAAGAUGAAGGCAGAGAUCAAGGUGAUCGAUAUACAAGCCAAGGAAUGUCAAUGACUGACAGCAACCACCAGAAGCUAGAAGAGAGGCAUGGAAAAGACUUUCUCUCACAGCCCCCAGAAGGAAUCAACCCUACUGAUACCUUACUUCUAGCCUCCAGAACUGUUUCCUUCUGGUAUCAUUGACUUUCAGACUGAGCAACUUCCUCGGGUGUUUCUACUGAUCUAUCUUCCCAGUUCACUGAAUCUUUCCUCUGUCAUCUCUCUCCUACCGUUGAGCCUGAGGUCUCAAGAUGAAAUCAUCCUGGACUGAGGAUAGGCUCUAAAUACGAUGACUGGUGUCUUUACAAGAGAAAGGAGGUAGAGAUUUGGAUAUGGAGAGGCAAAAAGGGAAGAAGGCCACGUGAAGAUGGAGCUAGACAUUGGAGGGAUGCUGCCACAAGUCAAGGCUAUCAACCUAGUUGGUUUCAGAUCACAGGUUUUUUUCUCUCCUUCUAUGGCCGGUGUUUCCAAAGCGAAGUGUUGGAAGCUUUUGUAUGCUGCAUUUUGUUGGUCCCGUGAAGGCACAGCUCACAGCUCACAGCGGACCCUCUUCCCAGCUGUCUGGCCAGAAAGAUGGGAUUUCUCUCUCCAUCUUAGUUAUUCACACUUGCUGCUCCAUUCCACAACAGAGGCCUUCCUUGGGUCAAAGUCGGGAGAUAAAAGACGAAAAAACAAUAAACAGGAAACUCACUCCCAUGUGGUUUUCUUCCUCAAUUUUUGUUUUCCCUUUCUAAUCUGUCUGCUUCUGUUUACUUUUUAAGUAGUUGCUUCUUGUGUUUUGUCCAGAUGUUUUAGUUGGAAUCAGUUGGGAAACAGAGGCAUUAACAGGGUUAUUUCUUCUUUUCUAAUGCUGGAAGUGGGUAUGUCUUUUUAACUGUCUCUAUUUUACCUUUAUUUUCUACAUGAUGGAUAAAGGGAGGCUUCAGUGCCUGAACUUGGAUGCUAUGAUCACUGGAGAUACUUGGUACUUUUUAAAAAGCUCAGCUAUUUUAUUUAAAUCUCUUGAAUAUAUGUAAGGUCAAUGGAAAAGAGUCUUCUCGGAGAAUCCCCAGUCAGUGAACUUGGAAAUCAUGUCUUAUUGACGAUUAUUAGCAUCAAUGUCUAGCACCGAGUCUGUUUCAUUGAAGAUGAACAAUAAAUAAUUUUGUGAAAUUAUAAAGCUCCAGCAUUCAUUCUGGUCAAGUAUUCUGGUUGCACAGAAUAGAAACCAACUCAAAUAGACUGAAGUAAAAAGGGAAAGUAGAUCUGUGGGCUCUGGAAUCUCAUGAAAUCCAAGAACAAAAACAAGAGCUCCAUCUCAGCCUCAUAGCAAUGAAAUCUGGAAAUCGGAUGCUGGGAAAAACAAGGCAGCUUCUUUCUCGUAUGUGUUCUGGAGGAAUACCUGGUUCCUUGCAACUGCUACUCUGUGCAUUUGCUUAAUCCUCCUUCUUUUCUCCCCUGGUAAAGAGAGAGAGAUGGAAAGAAAUCAGGUUCUUAGUGAGAAUGCUGAGCCACUGCAUCAACC